GAAAGUUCCUGGCCCUAAGCGGCCGCUGUCUGGCAGGAGGAGGGAGGCUUCUUCCACCGCCUGUCCAACAGUUCACCCCUUGUGAAAACCCCUUGUUGCUUCGGCAGCUCCACCCCUUUGCUGGGGAGGAUCAGCCUGCCGUUGGCACCUUUGGAAACCCUUGAAUGGAAUGCAGCCAUCACAACGUCUGAUCAAACAGUCAAAUGACGCAUA
rnacentral:misc_RNA from 1 species